CACAACUACCAACAGACCAGUGGUGUGGUUCCGUGCCUGGGCCGCCAAAGCAGAGCAUGCCUGACUUAACCACUACACCAUCAGGGCUGGCUCGAGAAAACAGAUUAUACUCACUGGGAUAAUAACUGGGAACGUUGAACUGGAGAAACACCUCAAGAAAAGACAGUCAGACCUCGGAUGGAAGGGAAGGGCUGAACCAAGCAUCCUCGAGCAAGAACAAGGCACGCGUCCCACCCCAUCUCAUAACUUCCCUUCCCUAUUCCUCAAGACACACGGAAAUGAUGGCACUGAAAUUUGUUUGCAAAAGUGUCUAAGCUUCUUGGUCAGUAAAGCAAUUAUUCAGAGAAAGGAAAAGACUUGAAUGAAUGUGACCUCCCAUUCUUGUCUAAAUGACUGUUAAGACAGUCUAGCAUUUUAUUUAAAAGGUGAUCUUUAAGGUGAUUAAACUAAAUGAGAUAUCUGUAAAGUGCCUACAACAAUGCUUAGCUCACACAUGGAACUCUAUGAUGUUUGCUGUGUUUUUAGAAUAUUCUCAAUUGCACUGGCCUGAUUGUAUAUUAUAUUGUGCUUCUCAACUUCAAUUUUUCUUCUAAAUCUGGACAAUAUAAGCUCGGUUUAAAAAUCAUACAAAAAAUAUAAAUUGUAUUUUAAAUUCUAAA